UACGUAGGUGGCGAGCGUUGUCCGGAUUUACUGGGCGUAAAGAGCGCGCAGGCGGUCGUUCAAGUCGCGUGUGAAAGCCCCCGGCUCAACUGGGGAGGGUCACGCGAUACUGAUCGACUCGAAGGCAGGAGAGGGAAGUGGAAUUCCUGGUGGAGCGGUGGAAUGCGCAGAUAUCAGGAGGAACACCGAUGGCGAAGGCAGGUCUCGUGGGCCGCAACUGACACUGAGGAGCGAAAGCAUGGGGAGCGAA
rnacentral:rRNA from 1 species